rnacentral:rRNA from 1 species
AUGGUGCUGAGAAAUGUUAGGGACACAUUGCACUCAAUGGGAAAAGACAUAGAAUCAUUUCCUCUUCCAGAGAUCGACAAACAACAUGAGAUCACAAACGACCUGCCUAGGGAAAUCAUCGAGGUGGACCCUGAGGACACAUCGUUGCAUAAAAACCUAAAUACCGAGCAAAGGAUGGCCUAUGACGAAAUCCUAGCCACAGUUGACUGCCAAAGAGGAGGUAUAUUUUUUGUCGAUGGGCCGGGAGGGACAGGAAAAACUUUUCUUUACAGGGCGCUCUUGGCCACAGUACGUGGACAAGGCAAGAUUGUUGUGGCGAAAGCCACUUCCGGUCUUGCUGCUUCCAUAAUGCUUGGAGGGAGGACCGCACACUCAAGGUUCAAAAUUCCAAUUAAAAUAGAUGAUGGUGCUAUUUGUAGCUUCACAAAAUAA